rnacentral:lncRNA from 13 species
AUGUCCCAUAGGCCUCUACAUUAUGGACAAGACUUCACCCUCCCUACACCUCUGAUGAAUUUAACAGGAAAUCUGUUCAAUAACCAUUGUCAGCAGCAUACCACCCUGCAUACCACUGCUGGCUUGCUUCUGAAGCUAAGCAGGGGUGGUACUGGUCAGUUCCUGGAUGGGAGACCAGAUGCUGCUGGAAGUGGUGUUGGAGGGCCAGUAGGGGGCACUCUUUCCUCUGGUCUAAAGAAAUAUCCCAAUGCCCCAGGGCCGUGAUUGGGGACACUGCCCUGUAUAGGGUGCCGUCUUUCGGAUGGGAUGUUAAACGGGUAUCCUGACUCUCUGAGGUCAUUAAAGAUCCCAUGGCACUUAUUGUAGGGGUCUUGUCCCUGGCUAAAUUCCCAAGCUGGCCCUCAAACCAUCAAGGUCACCUAAUAAUCCACAGUUUACAAUUGGCUCAUUCAUCCCUCUCCCCUGUAACUAUUCCACAGGUCGUUGCUGCAAAUGAGAACCUGUUCUCAGUCAACUUACCUGGUAAAAUAUAAAAUGAAUUGUCAUGACGUUGGCCUAGGUUUAUGACAGUCAUAAAUCCCUUUUUCCUCUCUCUACCCUACAAAGAUUACAUUUGCAAAAACCUUGGUUAACAGAGAUUAAAGAAGAAGUUACAGGUCUGUGAGAGCCAGAAAUCUUGCUUGUUUGUAGGUGACCAAAUACUUAUUUUCCACCAUAAUUUGCAAAUAAAUUCAUAAAAAUCCUACAAUGUGAUUUUCUGGAUUUUCUUUCUCAUUUUCUGUCAUAGUUGAAGUGUACCUAUGAUGAAAAUUACAGGCCUCUCUCAUCUUUUUAAGUGGGAGAACUUGCACAAUUGGUGGAUGACUAAAUACUUUUUUGCCCCACUGUAUGUAUAUAUACAGUACUAGUCAAAAGUGUUGGGGUGCUGCAUCAAAUGACAUGGCCUCCGCAUUCAGCCGACCUCAACCCAAUUGAGAUGGUUUGGGAUGAGUUGGACCGUAGAGUGAAGGAAAAGCAAGUCCUCAGCAUAUGUGGGAAUUCCUUCAAAGACUGUUGGAAAAACGUUCCUCAUGAAGCUGGUUGAGUGAAUGCCAAGAGUGUGCAAAGCUGUCAUCAAGGCAAAGGGUGGCUACUUUGAAGAAUAUAUAUAUUUGGAUUUGUUUAAGACUUUUUUGAUUCCAUAUGUGUUAUUUCAUAGUUUUGAGGUCUUCACUAUUAUUCUACAAUGUAGAAAAUAGUAGAAAUAAAGAAAAACACUUGAAUGAUUAGGAGCUUUUUAAACUUUUGACUGGUAUUGUAUGGUGUAAUAUAAUAUGGACACAAUAAUAAGCACUCCACCCGAUUCAAAAUGGUUGCUCUUUUCAAAACAUUGAAUAACUAAGUGACUGAAGUAUUCCAUUUGUGAGCAAAGUGUUGUGUGAUGAGACUGUGAUAGGUACCAGCCAGCCUACAUGCACCUCAUGUACCUUUACCUCCCCUGACAGCUGCCUGCAUCAUUAGUAUGCAUUAAAAAGAGCAGGUGAUUCUGAAUAAACCACAUCCUCUCCUGCAACACCUUCAGAUUCUCAAUCCCCAUUUAGGAAUGUUUUCAAU